rnacentral:lncRNA from 1 species
AGUGACUUUACCAAGAACCUGGCCUGUGAAGAGUGGGAGGACGAAGGGGAAAGUGGCUGAGGGGCUUCUCACUAUUUUUAAGACGGACAAGACUUGAGUCCAGCUGAAGUCUGAGAGGAAGACGUAAACAGGGAGAGGCUGGAGGCAGAAGAGAGCAUGACGGGGCUUUAUACUGUUGGUUAAACUUCUGCCGGCGGACGCAGCAGCAGGCGGCCAGCGUGGUGAGGAGGAUGGCAGAGACCAGUAUGAAGGUCAAGCCAGGUGAGCUGGAACUCAGCCUGGGGCUGGGAGGCCGUCUGAAAGGCCUCGAUGCUGUUGCAGCUCAGGUCUAGCACCCGCAGCUGCUGGAGGCUGAAGUCGGAGAUGCAGGCCUCCAGGAACCCCAGCCUUUCCCAGAAAAAGGUCUGACUUCCACAAUCACCGGGCUCAGGCUCACCGCCCCCAGCUUCUGUCUCCGCCAACCCGUUCUGACCCACUCACUGCUAAAUGCCUGACAACUGCUCAAAAGCUCUACUCUGACAAUGAGGCAGCUUGGCUUAAACUUCUCCACGGUGAAGUCCAGGAUCCCCAGCAGGGCCUUCGAGGCUGUUUGUAGCCCCUGCCAACCUGUCCCCCACCUCCCACCCCAGCCCACAUGCAGUGACCACAGCUGACCACUGCCCAUCAUGCGCUCCCACACCCACUGCUGGGGCCUGCUCCCUGAGCUGGUUAUGCCAUCCCCAACCAGAUCCACACAUGAACUCUUCACACUGAGCUUCAGGGCCUCCUCCACCAGGGAGCCCUCCCUGACUGUGCUUCCUCUCAGAGCUUUGCCCCGCUGAAUUGUGGCUGUGUGUGUGAGGACCUGCUAGACAGCGAGCUCAGAGCAAACAGGGACUGGUUUGGUGGAUGUGCAUGCCUUGGACCUGACUAGCAAGUCAAUUUUUCCUAAUGAAUGAGUCCCAGACAUCAUCAGUUUAGUAAAGGUCUGAGGCACUGAAUCAAUCACUUCUCUAGGAGGAAAGAAAAUGCAUAAUUGAUAUUUUCAAAAUAUAGUCAAAGACGGGUAGAGCAAGAAGAGUUCAGCUGACCCACUUCCCAGAUGUGAACACUGAGGCCUGAAGAUGGCAGUGACUUGCGUGAAUUCACAGUGAGCCAGUGGCUGAGCUGGUAGGGAGGGAACACAAGCCGGUGUGUUCCUCCCCUGGUCCAGCUCUGCGCUUCCUCCUGAGAGCCCCAAGAACCCUGCCACAUCAUGUAAACAAUCCCGGACUAGCCUGCUGGAGGAAGAUAGACUGUGGAACAGAAUUGAGUUCCACAAGGCUCCAGAGACAUGAGAGAACCCAACUGAGAUCAGCAGAGCAGCUACCUCACCCAUGGCUGACCACAGAUGUAUGAGUGUGUCCAGAAGAACUUUCUGGUGGCCCCAUAGGUUUGUGAACAAUAAUAAAUGCUUAUCAUUUUA